CGAACGGCAGCACAGGAGAGCUUGCUCUCUGGGUGGCGAGUGGCGGCCGGGUGAGGAAUACAUCGGAAUCUACUCUGUCGUGGGGGAUAACGUAGGGAAACUUACGCUAAUACCGCAUACGACCUACGGGUGAAAGCAGGGGACCUUCGGGCCUUGCGCGAUUGAAUGAGCCGAUGUCGGAUUAGCUAGUUGGCGGGGUAAAGGCCCACCAAGGCGACGAUCCGUAGCUGGUCUGAGAGGAUGAUCAGCCACACUGGAACUGAGACACGGUCCAGACUCCUACGGGAGGCAGCAGUGGGGAAUAUUGGACAAUGGGCGCAAGCCUGAUCCAGCCAUACCGCGUGGGUGAAGAAGGCCUUCGGGUUGUAAAGCCCUUUUGUUGGGAAAGAAAUCCAGCUGGCUAAUACCCGGUUGGGAUGACGGUACCCAAAGAAUAAGCACCGGCUAACUUCGUGCCAGCAGCCGCGGUAAUACGGAGGG
rnacentral:rRNA from 1 species